UAAUAGUGAUAUCACAGAGGAAAAAUUGUAGUUCUCUGGUAUCAGCUUUAAAUUCAAACCCUUCAAAUCUGAAAGAACUGGAUUUGAGCAGAAGUAAUCUCAGAGACUCAGGAAUAAAGAUAAUCUCAACUCUGUUUGAGAAUGGACAGUGUAGACUGGUAAAGCUAAAGUCUAACUGCAUCUAUAUAACAGCAUAUGGUUGUGCUGCUCUGGCUGCAGCUUUUAAUUCAAAUCCCCUCAAACCUCAGGGAGCUGGAUCUGAGUGGAAACCCACUAAGAGACUCAGGAGUAAUGAAUGUAUCCACUUUUCUGGCAAAUUCACAAUGUACACUGCAGAUACUCAGACUUUCAGACUGCAGUAUCACUGAAGAAGGUUAUAAAGCUCUGGCUUCAGCUCUG